rnacentral:rRNA from 1 species
AAACUCCGAAUACCUUAUAUGUAAUCACAGCAGUCAGGCGGCGAGUGAUAAAAUCCGUCGUCAAGAGGGAAACAACCCAGACUACCAGCUAAGGUCCCUAAAUCUUACUUAAGUGGAAAACGAUGUGAAGUUACUUAAACAACCAGGAGGUUGGCUUAGAAGCAGCCAUCCUUUAAAGAAAGCGUAAUAGCUCACUGGUCUAGUGAUUUUGCGCGGAAAAUAUAACGGGGCUAAAGUAAGUACCGAAGCUGUAGACUUAGUUUACUAAGUGGUAGGAGAGCGUUCUAUUUGCGUCGAAGGUAUACCGGUAAGGAGUGCUGGAGCGAAUAGAAGUGAGCAUGCAGGCAUGAGUAGCGAUAAUUAAUGUGAGAAUCAUUAACGCCGUAAACCCAAGGUUUCCUACGCGAUGCUCGUCAUCGUAGGGUUAGUCGGGUCCUAAGUCGAGUCCGAAAGGGGUAGACGAUGGCAAAUUGGUUAAUAUUCCAAUACCAACAUUAGUGUGCGAUGGAAGGACGCUUAGGGCUAAGGGGGCUAGCGGAUGGAAGUGCUAGUCUAAGGUCGUAGGAGGUUAUACAGGCAAAUCCGUAUAACAAUACUCCGAGAACUGAAAGGCUUUUUGAAGUCUUCGGAUGGAUAGAAGAACCCCUGAUGCCGUCGAGCCAAGAAAAGUUUCUAAGUUUAGCUAAUGUUGCCCGUACCGUAAACCGACACAGGUGGGUGGGAUGAGUAUUCUAAGGCGCGUGGAAGAACUCUCUUUAAGGAACUCUGCAAAAUAGCACCGUAUCUUCGGUAUAAGGUGUGGUUAGCUUUGUAUUAGGAUUUACUCCGAAAGCAAGGAAACUUACAACAAAGAGUCCCUCCCGACUGUUUACCAAAAACACAGCACUCUGCUAACUCGUAAGAGGAUGUAUAGGGUGUGACGCCUGCCCGGUGCUCGAAGGUUAAUUGAUGGGGUUAGCAUUAGCGAAGCUCUUGAUCGAAGCCCGAGUAAACGGCGGCCGUAACUAUAACGGUCCUAAGGUAGCGAAAUUCCUUGUCGGUUAAAUACCGACCUGCAUGAAUGGCGUAACGAGAUGGGAGCUGUCUCAAAGAGGGAUCCAGUGAAAUUGUAGUGGAGGUGAAAAUUCCUCCUACCCGCGGCAAGACGGAGAGACCCCGUGGACCUUUACUACAGCUUGACACUGCUAUUUGGAUAAGAAUGUGCAGGAUAGGUGGGAGGCUUUGAGUAUAUGACGCCAGUUGUAUAUGAGCCAUUGUUGAGAUACCACUCUUUCUUAUUUGGGUAGCUAACCAGCUUGAGUUAUCCUCAAGUGGGACAAUGUCUGGUGGGUAGUUUGACUGGGGCGGUCGCCUCCCAAAUAAUAACGGAGGCUUACAAAGGUUGGCUCAGAACGGUUGGAAAUCGUUCGUAGAGUAUAAAGGUAUAAGCCAGCUUAACUGCAAGACAUACAAGUCAAGCAGAGACGAAAGUCGGUCUUAGUGAUCCGGUGGUUCUGUGUGGAAGGGCCAUCGCUCAAAGGAUAAAAGGUACCCCGGGGAUAACAGGCUGAUCUCCCCCAAGAGCUCACAUCGACGGGGAGGUUUGGCACCUCGAUGUCGGCUCAUCGCAUCCUGGGGCUGGAGCAGGUCCCAAGGGUAUGGCUGUUCGCCAUUUAAAGCGGUACGCGAGCUGGGUUCAGAACGUCGUGAGACAGUUCGGUCCCUAUCUGCCGUGGGCGUAAGAAGAUUGAAGAGAUUUGACCCUAGUACGAGAGGACCGGGUUGAACAAACCACUGGUGUAGCUGUUGUUCUGCCAAGAGCAUCGCAGCGUAGCUAAGUUUGGAAAGGAUAAACGCUGAAAGCAUCUAAGCGUGAAGCCAACUCUAAGAUGAAUCUUCUCUAAGCUCUCUAGAAGACUACUAGUUUGAUAGGCUGGGUGUGUAAUGGAUGAAAGUCCUUUAGCUGACCAGUACUAAUAGAGCGUUUGGCUUAUCUUUAAUAAAGCAU